GUUUUUUGCACUUACAGAUACACUCUGUCCUUUUAUUGGUUCUGCUGUUCGGAAUGUAUCUUGUCCAAAAGUUGUUAUCAGACCGUCAACACAAAAGAAUGAGUCCUUAACAUCAGUAGACAGAUUUACCGACGGUAGAAGUAGUUAUUAUGAAGGAAGAACAUAUAGAUUAAUAUGUGUUUACUUCAGCUAAGCAUAAAUAAUUGUUAUGAUCUCUGUUCUAGCGGUAAUUGGAUUGUUAGAGUGGAAUGAUGUUUUAUAUGGCGAUCGUGUAACAGAUAACAACACGACAGUACAAUUAUUGGUAGAUCAAGAUGUAUCUGAUAAUUCGUUGAAAGAAACGGAAGGCGAUUCGAUAGAAAUUGAACGAUUACAAAAAGAAAAGAAUAGGAUGUUAAUGGGAGAAGUUGUAUCUGGAGACGAAAACGGUUAUAUCAAAUUUCUAACAUUUCUAAAAGCAUAUUCGGAAUAUGAUGACCUCGUUUAUGAAAUAGAAAACACAGUUGUAACAGAUGACGAUAGGAUAGCAUUUCAAAAUUGUCAAAUGAACACUGAACAUAGAGCUGUAAUAUGAACGAUGAUCAAAUCAUGUAUGACCAUGUGUGAACGAAACUUUUAAAAAUUAUUGGGACAAAACUCAAUUUCGGAUAAACAUGUUGUUCCUUCGAUACUAAGAAUUAUUUGUGUAAUUCAUUGCUAUACACAAAACUAGAACACGCCCGCAGAACCGUCGACUGACUUAAAGUAACUUUACCUUAUUUGAAGCCUUGAUUUCGAGCAUUCGUAUUGUCAUCUUAUAAAUUCAUGCUGGUUGUACGGUGAAGUUUAUCUGCUUACAUAAUAUUUUUCUAUGUUAACCCGUCUUAAUUUUCUUCUACAAUGAACUAACUAAUUUUUUUUCAUAUUGUUUCUCUUAAUUAACCAAAAUAAAUACUGAUGUUGAGGUGCAAAAAAAACAAAAUUGCUUUACAGCUUACUCUUGUGUACCAUAGACAUAAAACAACUACGGGAAAAGUUCCAGUUUCUCCUGAUAAGUGAGGAUUUUCGGUAUAACUUGACUGGGCGGUGUUUAACCGGUUCCAUUAUUUAAUACCACUCCAUCUAUAGACAGGUGUGUCCAGAUAAACUCACCAAUGAAGUGGUCAGUUAUUUGUCUUUUGAACUCCUGGAUAUUUUUAUAUCUCUGAAAUAAAUUUUAUCUCUUU